GUUUCUGUAGUGUCGUGGUCAUCACAUUCGCCUGACAUGCGAAAGGUCCUCAGUUUGAAACUGGGCAGAAACA